UACGUAGGGUGCGAGCGUUGUCCGGAAUUAUUGGGCGUAAAGAGCUUGUAGGCGGUCUGUCGCGUCUGCUGUGAAAAUCCGGGGCUCAACCCCGGACUUGCAGUGGGUACGGGCAGACUAGAGUGUGGUAGGGGAGACUGGAAUUCCUGGUGUAGCGGUGAAAUGCGCAGAUAUCAGGAGGAACACCGAUGGCGAAGGCAGCUUGCUGGGACGGUACUGACGCUGAGGCGCGAAAGCGUGGGGAGCAAACAGG
rnacentral:rRNA from 1 species